AUUGAACGCUGGCGGCAUGCCUUACACAUGCAAGUCGAACGGCAGCACGGGUGCUUGCACCUGGUGGCGAGCGGCGAAUGGGUGAGUAAUACAUCGGAACGUACCUUAUCGUGGGGGAUAACGCAGCGAAAGUUGCGCUAAUACCGCAUACGCCCUGAGGGGGAAAGCGGGGGACCGUAAGGCCUCGCGCGAUUAGAGCGGCCGAUGUCUGAUUAGCUUGUUGGUGAGGUAAAAGCUCACCAAGGCGAUGAUCAGUAGCUGGUCUGAGAGGACGAUCAGCCACACUGGGACUGAGACACGGCCCAGACUCCUACGGGAGGCAGCAGUGGGGAAUUUUGGACAAUGGGGGCAACCCUGAUCCAGCAAUGCCGCGUGAGUGAAGAAGGCCUUCGGGUUGUAAAGCUCUUUUGUCAGGGAAGAAACAGCAGCUCUAACACAGUCUGCGAAUGACGGUACCUGAAGAAUAAGCACCGGCUAACUACGUGCCAGCCGCCGCAGUAA
rnacentral:rRNA from 1 species